AUACGUAGGGGGCGAGCGUUGUCCGGAAUGAUUGGGCGUAAAGGGCGCGUAGGCGGCCGCUUAAGUCUGGAGUGAAAGUCCUGUUUUCAAGAUGGGAAUUGCUUUGGAUACUGGGGGGCUUGAGUGCAGGAGAGGUAAGUGGAAUUCCCAGUGUAGCGGUGAAAUGCGUAGAGAUUGGGAGGAACACCAGUGGCGAAGGCGACUUACUGGACUGUAACUGACGCUGAGGCGCGAAAGUGUGGGGAGCAAACAGGAUUAGAUAUCCUGGUAGUCCACACUGUAAACGAUGAAUGCUAGGUGUAGGGGGUAUCGACCCCUUCUGUGCCGCAGUCAACACAAUAAGCAUUCCGCCUGGGGAGUACGGCCGCAAGGUUGAAACUCAAAUGAAUUGACGGGG
rnacentral:rRNA from 1 species